GAGCUGGCUCAGGGUGAAUCAUUUAAGACAGCAGCAGUCGCAACUCGCGACACACGCAGUAAAAAGUUACAAUUCAUCGUCGUCGGUUCGACUACAGACGAUAGAGACAUUUCUGCUUAUUAAGUGAUCUGACUAGAACACACUGAGGUACUGGGACAAGCGUGGACAAACCUGUAGUUUUUGGCUAUGCAUGCAUUCCAGCCCUGGGAACAGCACCACUCAGCAAGGCAAUGGCAUCAACUCUUGGAACUCAACCACAUCUUCUUCAGUUUCACUCAGUACCUUAGAUGCCAAUUAGCUGACUCCAAGCAAUGCAGUGAUCUGUGUUCAACAGGAAAAUUGCUUGAGAGAGCUCUUGGAACACCUCAGCUGCACCAUCAUAGGAGAUCGUGCCAUCAGAUCUGAUGAAGGCCAAGCCCUUGAACCCAGCAACUGCAUAUCAAGACCUGAAUGCUGCAGUUUGCUUUACCUCAAGUAGCAAUUGCUGAAUAGUGGCAUUUGGAAUGACCAAGCUGUUUGAAUGAAGUAUUUGGGGGUAGGAAAAUCCCCCAUCUCUAUCUCAGUUCCCACUUCUCUAACCCUUGUCCAUGGCCCUGACACAGGCGCAAGGAAUAAAGGAGUUCUUGGCCUUCGUUGUUCGCUUUUAUAGACCAUGUAGCAAAUGGCAAGCUCUUAAACUAGUAUCCACAUAUCAAGACCUAAUUUCUGCAACAUUUCCUUUGCAUUAGCAGGCAGUUGCUGACGAUAACAUUCCGUCGUUCAUGGCUUUUUCAGUUCCUGUCCUGGUGUCUGCUCUUAGAAGAUGAGAUAUUGGUUACUCACAAGAAGUGCACAAGUUCUUCACCAGUCUUCUUCCUUUUUGUAUUCCUCACCCUCCUACUCUUUUCCAACAUCUCUUCCCUGGACCUAUGGGGUGUGGGGUGGAGAAACAACGCAAAGAAAGCAUGACAAGGCUAAGAAGCAUUCUGUUGUCACAUUUCCUCUUAUAUGGUAAGAUGGCUAUACUAGUAACCAUUCAUACUGGGGGCUGGUAGUAAUAAGAAGAAGGCAUGAUGCAAAUAGUCUUCUUGUGAAGGCUCACCAAAAUUUGAGCCUGAGAACAUGACGUGUUCUCUCCUAUGCGUGAUUCUGGUCGUUAAUGGUCGCCUGCUCUCUCUUCCCCAGAAGAAAACAAACCUUGACUCUCCCCCUUAAGAGUAGGGUCUAAGAAUUACGGCGAGCACAUGCCUGUAAUCCCCACCACAACCUUCAGAGGGGAGCACACAAAUGGAGGUAUUUAUAUUGUAAAUGCGCCUACACUUGCUAAGAUUUACCUCCAAUGUUAGUGUAGGUAGGCGCACCCAUAUAUCAUUCUCUUUGAUUUUAAAGUGACAUUAUUGCCUUAUGUUGGCCAAACGUGAUAAACCAUCCGCCUACAAGAAAACGGAUGAAUCAAGUUUCAAAAAUACUUCCUUUUAUUCAGCAACAGCAGCUUAGUUUGGAAUUUAUAAAUUGUUUUCCUGGUUUACUUUGUAGAGCAUUGACAGAUCUGCUAUUCUUUGGGACUAAGGAGUUAUGUCGUGUAGCGACCUGAAUGAGAAUAUCAGCAUCGAUGGUUUCAUGUUUGUUGUCUCUUCUACGACAGUGUGCCUCUUGCUCUAACAAUAACAUCAGUGCUACAGCCGUGUUGCUUAAAGUAAUUCAUAGUCUAAUGACAGUUUUGUCUCUGUUUCAGUAAUGACGCAUAUCUCCUCUUAAAUACAGGUAUGGAUUAUGAUGAUGUUUGAAGUUCCUUGCUACAGUCCGAAGUCCCUUGAUACAAUCCACACACUGAGGCAGCGGCUGCUGUGUGUGUUUUGUGGUGAAGCUAGUCCCCCAUUCGGCAGGAUAUUUCACUCGAUUAUGUACUCUAAUUUUAUGGGUGGAAAGGUAUGGCAUCCACCUCCACCCACUACAGUCAGUGGUACGGUAUUAUGGCGAUGAGGCAUUUAAAUAAUGAUGACUGACAUCUUAGUCACACUCACUUCUGUUUGGGAUAUAAAAUGCAACAGGCUGCAGACGAAUUUGGAGAAAUCAAGCCAUACUGACUGGUUUUGACAUGUAUUAGAGAAGGAAUAUGUUCGUGAUUCUUAGUCAUGUUUGAAGAUGAAGUUUCCAAAUAACACCUCAUUUCUGUAUAUAAACAUUUUACCCACUAAUAGCUAACUUCUGCACAAGUUUGGUAUGAUGCCAUUUGGGUCCAUUUGAAGAUUCAGAAGUAGAGCCUUAUUUCUAAUCUGAAAUUGGGGAGUCUCUUUGCUCUUAAUAAUUUGUCUAGGGCUACUUCCUUACUUCUAUCUUUCAAAGAACAGUGGUACUUCGGUUUUCGUACAUAAUCCAUUCAAGAACCUCCUACGAUAUCCGAAAUGUACGAAAACCGAAACAAUAAUUCCCAUAAGGAAUAAUGUAAAUAGUAUUAAUGUGUUCCAGACCCCUCCCAAAUAUUUUUUUAAAAUACAUUUUAGAGGGAAUAAACACAGUUUUACUUACAGAAAAGAGUGAGAAAUAAAUAUAAAUGAAUAAUGAAAUGAAUAAUCAACAUUUAACAUCACUCUUACCUUUAUGGAAAACUCUUGUUAGCGUAGGGAAGAUGGAGACAAGGGGAGAAGGAGGACCUUACUUUACCUUACACACCUUGCAGCUUGUUCGGGUUGCCCCAGGUCCCUCAGUGUGAGGCACCUCUAAUGUCUACCAGAGAAUUGCUAAUGCAUCUUCCGGUAUAUUUUGCAUCUUCCAAUCUUGGAUGGUCUGGGAUGCAGCUCAGAUAUUUGUCGAGCUUAUUCUUAAACACAUCUACGCUCACUCCUGAAAUGUUCCUCUCAGAUGAGCUGGCAAUGCAUUGAAUAGAUGCUGCAUUAUCUAUGCUGGUGCGUAGUGCAAUAAUGUCCUGUGUGCUUUCCUUAGUUUUCCUGGUAUAGUUUUGAGGGUGCCCAGACAAAAUGCCGAUGGACAUAAUGUCGACGGAGAUAAUGUCAAUGGACAAAAUGUCGACAGACAAAAUGUCAACCUUUGUUCAGGUAGGACAAAAUGUCAACAAAAAUAAUAAAAAUAAUAAUUCAGUUUUUGUUCACAUAUUUUGUUUACACAUUCCAGCACCGGCAGUUGUCUUGUUCCGUUUUACAAGCCAUUUAAUGCCUAACAAAUGUAUUUUCAACGAAAAAUGAUUUUUCAAAUUCCAUUAGUUCUCCAAGAUCUGCGAUAUAGUGAAAUUGUUUUUUCGGUCUGUCCAUCACUACAAUGGAGAUAACAAAAACGAACAAAGGCGGCAAGAAACUUCUUUAGGAAGGCUAUGCUUACGUUGUCGAUAAGCGAAAGGAAGAUAGGAUCUUAUGGCGAUGUGAAAAACGUGGAUAUUGUGGUGGACGAAUAACAACUACUAACGAUACUGUACUUUCUUUUGCAAGUCAUUCUCACUAGCCAGAUAGUAUCAGAUUUGAUGCUCUAAAAAUCCAGAACAAAAUAAAAGACAUGGCCAGCGGUACAGAAGAUAUUCCCUCAAAUAUAUUUCACAAGGCUACAGCAAACAUAUCACUAGAUGUGUGUGGGGCUUUGCCAAAGAAGGAGUCAAUUGCGCACACAAUUAGGCGACAGCGCAGUGUAAAUGAAGAUGAAAAUUUGACGACAACUACAAGUGGAGAAGCUUUUUUGUUGCACAAUAGUGAGGACAUAAGCAUUUACACAACGUCUAACAAUCUAAGAGUGUUAGAAACCUAUUCAACGUGGCUUUGCGAUCGGGCAUUAACAGUGUAAGGAAGAUAUUUCCAGAUACUAUCGUUUAUGGAUGUUUUUUUUUCCAUUUCGGUCAAUGUCUGUGGCGCAAAAUCCAGUCAUUGGGUUUACAAUCCUGGUAUACUGAAACCAGUAAUGCAUUCGUCAUAAAGCAGUUUCAAGUAUUGACAUUUGUUCCUUCUGAAUACGUAUAUGCUCUUUUUUUGUUUCUAUGGUGUUUUUACGUUGCAUGGAACCAGUGGUUAUUCAGCAACGGGACCAACGGCUUUACGUGACUUCCGAACCACGUCGAGUGUGAAAUUCUUUCACCAGAGAUACACAUCUCUCACUCCUCAAUGGAAUGCCCGGGAAUCGAACUUGUGGCAGCCGAGGUGGUACGCCAACACCACACUGAGGCGCUCAUAUAUGCUCUUUUUGAAGAACUUCUUGGUUCCCUAACUGAAGACAUAGAAUGUGCUCUCGACGAAUUUCUGGUAUAUUUUGAAGUGACCUGGCUAGGUGUAGUUCAACGUAGAUGACGACGUAAACCCUGCAAUGAUAUCCGGCUCUGGUCAGUUCACAGUCGUGUCGCAGAUGACUUGCCACGCACGAAUAAUGUACUUGAAGGGUAGCAUUAUGCUUUCAACUGAAGAAUGGUGAUUAAGCAGGUAUCUUUAAAAAAACUGGUUGGCAAACUGAAACAAGAACAAGCAAAUACAAAAAUGUUGUUAGCACAACUAAGCAACGGGAGAGGAAUUGGAAGGCAGAAUCUGAAAUAUGUUAGAAUCCACGAACGAUUGAAGAUCCUGGUCACAAACUUUAAUCCAGAUCAAGGGAUCCAGUUUUUAAGAGCAAUAGCUCAUAAUUUGUAACACUUUUUAGAAUUAUGUUGUUCUUAAUAGAUAAAUUUUGUAUUCAUAUCUUUUGUAACACUUUUUAAUUGAUUAUAUUGCUUUUAAUAAAUUUGUAGCUCUACAAUUGAACCAUCUUGUGAUUCAUUAAAAUGCAAUUGACUA